AGGGUUGUAGCUCAGAAGGAUAGAGCAAGCGCCUCCUAAGCGCUAGGUCAGCGGUUCAAGUCCGCUCAACCCUG
rnacentral:tRNA from 1 species